UAGGGAAUCUUCGGCAAUGGGGGCAACCCUGACCGAGCAACGCCGCGUGAGUGAAGAAGGUUUUCGGAUCGUAAAGCUCUGUUGUAAGUCAAGAACGAGUGUGAGAGUGGAAAGUUCACACUGUGACGGUAGCUUACCAGAAAGGGACGGCUAACUACGUGCCAGCAGCCGCGGUAAUACGUAGGUCCCGAGCGUUGUCCGGAUUUAUUGGGCGUAAAGCGAGCGCAGGCGGUUUGAUAAGUCUGAAGUUAAAGGCUGUGGCUCAACCAUAGUUCGCUUUGGAAACUGUCAAACUUGAGUGCAGAAGGGGAGAGUGGAAUUCCAUGUGUAGCGGUGAAAUGCGUAGAUAUAUGGAGGAACACCGGUGGCGAAAGCGGCUCUCUGGUCUGUAACUGACGCUGAGGCUCGAAAGCGUGGGGAGCGAACAGGAUUAGAUACCCUGGUAGUCCACGCCGUAAACGAUGAGUGCUAGGUGUUGGGUCCUUUCCGGGACUCAGUGCCGAAGCUAACGCAUUAAGCACUCCGCCUGGGGAGUACGACCGCAAGGUUG
rnacentral:rRNA from 1 species